AUGCAUUCUAGUCCUGCCUGGGACACUCACUGGCCUCAAGAUCUUGGGCAAAACAGCUGACUGCUUUGCACCUCAGUUUCCUCAUCUGUAAGGUAAGGUGUAUUAGGAUUCUCCAGAGAAACAGAACCAACAGGUUGGGGGUGGGGGGUGGGGUGGAGAGAGAGAAUGAGAGAGGGAGAGAAAAAAGAAGAAGAGAAGAGAAAAGAGACGAGAAGAGAAAAGAAAAAGAAGAACUAGAGAAGGAGAAGGAGGAGAAGAAGAUUUAUUUUAAGAAACUGGCUCAAGCGAUUGUGGAGACUAGCAAGUCCAAAACGUUCAGGGCAGGCUGGAGACCCAGGGAGGAGUUGAUGGCGUUCCAGUGGGAAGGUAUUCUGAAGCAGGUUCUCUCUUCCCCAGGGGACCUCAGUCAUUUCUCUUAAGGCCUUCCACUGACUGGAUGAGGCCCACCCACAUUAUUCAGGGUAACCUGCUUUGCUCAAAGACUACGGAUGUAAAUGUUAAUCUCAUCUAAAAAUUACCUGCACAGCAAUACCUACACUGGUGUUUGACCAAAUAUCUGGGUCCCAUGGCCUAGCUAAGUUGGUGCAUCAGAUUAACCGUGGGGCUAAUGAGAUGUACUACAUAAGGUUGCUUUGUGGGUUAAGUGAGCUGAUAUAGGUGAAGAAUUUAGAACUGUGUCAGGUACAGAUAAAUUCUUGAUAAGUGUUAUCCAUCAUUCCUUCCAAAAGGAAUCAUUCAUUCCCAGGGCAGACUCUCCCUCUGUGGCUUGGACAUGUCAUCCUGGCCACUGGGUCCAUGCCCCUGAAGUCAGCAGGCUUUGCUUCUCUUCCAUUUACUUCUUGUGGCUGCGAAGAGUCUCUGUGCCUUGAGUGUGGCAGCCUGUGUCUGGGAGGAGAGCGAGCUUUCCUGGUGCCCACAUCAGUGAGGACACUAGGUGCUGCCUCUUAGUAAAGGCCCAACAGGGGAGAUGCUGCAAGGAGAUGUCUGGGGAUGGAAUUCUCCUGAGAGGAUCUCUGUUGUUGCUUAUACUCGCGGCAAGAAGCAAACACAUCGCUCUUUCAUCUUGGCAGGAUGUGCUGCUGCUGCCAGCCUGUCUGCCCCGCCCCUGGAUCGCCCCCACCCCCCCGACUCAGGUGGAUGGCCCUUCAGCAAAUGCCUUUCUUGGAAAAAAAAGGAGAACUGCACCCCUUGCCGCCCACCUCCUUUUCAGUUCAAAACUCUGCUCUAUCUCCUUUGCCCAGCCACACCUUUCGUGGCCCUUCCUACCUGACAAAGGGAGAUACCUUUGAGAGUCAGGCCUGCAUUGCGAGCUGAGCGAAUGUUCUUUUUGGAAACAAAGGAGUGUUCUUUUGGCUUUGGUUGAUGAAAGCAGGUGGAUUAAGAACUAGGAUAAAUGCAAAAUAUCCUGGAGGACAAUGGGGAAGGAAAGCUGCGGGAAGGAGACAUGGAAAGGAGGGUGGAAUGGGAGAUGGGAAGGGGCUGGCAGGACCAGGGAAAGGGUAAACCACGCUUUCAUCUUGGAGUCUGAUCUGUUUCUGAACUCUGAAGAGUAAGGCCAUGAAUUUUAAAAGGUGUCUCUGCAGUAUCUCUGCAGCUGACAGCUCCAGUCACAGAACCAGCCCUCUCUGAAGCUCAGGAGUGCCACAGGAGGCUGAGCCCAGGGAGUCUGGAGACCAGGAGGCUGGGGGAGCCCAGCUGGCCCUUGUCAGGAAGCAGGAUCACUCACAACUCCAACGCACUGGCCUGGGCAGGCUUCUGGCUGCACUUGGACGUGGCUGGGGCUGAGUAUCCCCUGGCAGCUCCUGGAGGUGUC
rnacentral:lncRNA from 10 species